rnacentral:misc_RNA from 1 species
GGAUCAACCAGGUAGCAUUCCUCUUAGACAUCCGGUUGCAAGAUGCGAGACAUGCAUGCAACGCCAAACGUCGUCCGAAUGGGGCGUGUAAUGCCUAUUUAGGGGCAAAUAGAGGUCAAGACCCCGCACCCGCAACGUGUUCUGUAUCCCGAAGGCCAAGAAAAAUUCAUGGGCCGUAAUGACAACGCGGUACGUUCGCAAAACGAAACACGAAUUUAUCUUUGAAGUUCCCCCGAACCCGCACCGUGUGAACGGGCAGUAGUGGGCAAACGUGUAAAAAAUUGGCUAAGGAAUUCCAUCAACGUAGGUAUGUAACACAGGAAACCAAUAGAAUGGACAAGGUCAGGAGUAGCUCUUGUGCCGACAAUUGAAGAGGAAUGCACGGUAGGACGUCGUUGCCCCAGCAAAGAUCCAA